rnacentral:rRNA from 1 species
GACAGAGGGUGCAAACGUUGUUCGGAAUUACUGGGCGUAAAGCGCGUGUAGGCUGCUCUGUGUGUCGGAUGUGAAAGCCCCGGGCUCAACCUGGGAAGUGCACUCGAAACUACAGAGCUGGAGUCUCGGAGAGGAUCGCGGAAUUCUCGGUGUAGAGGUGAAAUUCGUAGAUAUCGAGAGGAACACCGGUGGCGAAGGCGGCGA